rnacentral:rRNA from 1 species
CCUACGGGAGGCAGCAGUAGGGAAUAUUGCUCAAUGGGGGAAACCCUGAAGCAGCAACGCCGCGUGGAGGAUGAAGGUUUUCGGAUUGUAAACUCCUUUUGUUAGAGAAGAUAAUGACGGUAUCUAACGAAUAAGCACCGGCUAACUCCGUGCCAGCAGCCGCUGUAAUACGGCGGGUGCAAGCGUUACUCGGAAUCACUGGGCGUAAAGAGCGCGUAGGCGGGAUAGCAAGUCAGAUGUGAAAUCCUAGGGCUUAACCAUAGAACGGCAUUUGAAACUGUUAUUCUAGAGUAUGUGAGAGGUAGGUGGAAUUCUUGGUGUAGGGGUAAAAUCCGUAGAGAUCAAGAGGAAUACUCAUUGCGAAGGCGACCUGCUAGAACAUAACUGACGCUGAUGCGCGAAAGCGUGGGGAGCAAACAGGAUUAGAUACCCGGGUAGUC